AGCUUAGCAAACAACCUACUAAACGGGACAGUGCCAGAUCUCACUAGUGUAACUCAGCUAGAUUAUGUGGACCUAAGCGACAAUAACUUCCCAAACUCACCAGCACCUAGAUGGUUUUCAACGUUGACAUCCCUGAAUAGCAUAUUUAUGGAAAAUGAUGAUCUCACUGGAACAAUCCCUAGUGCUCUGUUCAGUUUACCCAACCUGCAGCAAGUAUCACUAGCUAGGAAUGCAUUCAGUGGGAAACUUGAUAUGACAGGUAACAUCAGCUCACAGUUGCGGGCUGUCAACUUGACAAAUAAUCAAAUCAUAGAGGCUGAUGUAACAAGAUACAGCAACAGCC